UAUAGAAGUUAGUGCAUGACAUCACUUCUGCCACACUUUAUUGGUUAAGAAAUCAAGGCAAGCCCAGAUUAAAGGAGGGGGAAAUUAAACUCCAUUUCAUGAUAUGAAGACAGUAUGCCCAUGUCAGAAGAGAAACAACUGCUUAUAGACUAUCUACCACAAAUGACUGUGGAGGAAAGUGGAAAGCCAAGGAAGGGGGAAACGUAGUACCGUAGUCUGACUGUCAUAUUCAUUCUGAUCCAACCAGUACAAAACUAUCUUACCUCAUGAACAUCAGGAAACAGAGAUAUUGAAAGACAUACCAGGUAUCACUAUCAUGCAUUUUGGAGCUUUGAUCUCAAUUUUCUGCCAAAUGAAUGGUCCUGUGUUUUGUGCUUGUUCAUUUACAAACAGAGAUCCCUCUGAGCACCGUGGAAGUAGAAGGCUAUGGAUGAACAGCUGAGGAAGUGGACAAGCUACAGUUAUUCUCUAGAAAUGAUGAGGUGAAGAUGAAUGACCUUCAGAAAUCUUCACAUGACAAUGGAGCGAUUUGAAGAAGGAAUGCCAAUAUCAAUCUCAUGCCUUAAGCAGUGUAACAGAAUGUUUUAAAGGCUCCACUGACCCUAAAAUAUACUUUGUGGAUUGUUUAUGUUGUUGGCACUAAACCUAUGAAGAUAUGGGGGGCUGGGGAGGAUGUACUAAUAAUCUAGGACAGGCUUUCAUAAAUAAAUGGUUGCCUCCUGACCAGUCGGCAUGACCUCAGUUUGUAAUGUUUACAUCCAUUACUACGAUCAAAAA